UGCUGUAUAUGGAAUGUAUUUAUAAAGACUUUGACCUUGGUAGACUCCAAAAGGAAAUCACGCCACCAUCAUUCGAUGGUGUGAGAAAAAAUCUUCUCAGCCCUGAAAAAAAAUGCGUGUAUGAUUCCGGAAACUCGGUAAUUAGAUUGUCGAAUUGCAACUCCGGGUCGGAAUCGAAAUAUGUGGAUUUGGGUUAACAUCAAUCGUUUUGGAGAAUGAAGGUGGAUAGUCGUUCAAUAUUUUGUUCUCAAUUAAACGGUUGUGCAUAUAGUUUCCCCUGACUGAAAAAGCUUGCCUGAAUCACGUAACUGAUCUAUUUACCUUCCUUUACUUUAGUUUGCAAACGAACACAUGUUUGGCAGCUGUCAAAAGCUUGGCUUGGGUCCUCGGGUCCCUUUCGCUUUACAUGACAAUACUUCUUUUGAAAGGUAACUGCAUUUGGAUUGCACGGAGCAACAACAUGACAAUCAUCAAAGUGUAAGCUGAUGUUGCCCUUGCUUAAUGUUCAAAUGUCAAAACAGUUUUUGCUUGCGGCAAUCCGGUUAUUUGAUUAUCCUCAGUGAUAGACGAAGAUUAUUAGUGUACCACGUUUUUCAGUUUAUUAUUUUUAAAAGUCCCAGUCACGUUCAUACCACCCUUUGAACACGGGAUCAUCACGAAGUGUCACGUCCCAUUUUCCGCCCUGGAUACAAAGCAAAUAUCAGAUUUGUUGACCCGCGAGGAAACAUCAAGCUUGCUGACCCGCAAGGAAUCAAAACGCUUCCCACUAAACUCAGCCUGAUUUCUAACAGCUUGGUGCACAUGGAGACAACAGUUUUCUACGCUUUGAUCAUUGUUAUUAACACGUUUUUCGUGGUCAGCAGUUGUGAAGAGGAAGGUCCAUCGAUUCAAACAAGCACUGCAAGUGUUCUGCACACAAAAGAUGAUGAAAUAGCACACUUGUCAUGCGCAGCAGGUGGUGACCCAUUACCGUUCAUUGAAUGGGAAAAAGAUGGGACCAUAUUAAGGGAUGACAGUCCGGGUAUGGUGAUAAUAUCCUGGAGCAAUGACACCACCAUACAGAGCCAUCUUCUUGUAGCUGUCACUUCCGAUGACAGACGAGGAAGGUAUACUUGUGUUGCAUCCAACCAGAAAGGAAAAACUCGUCGACAAUCGUUUGUUAUAGAAGAUAGUCAAACAAACAAAAAAGGACUCAAUGACAAGGAUUACAUUGCCAUUGGUGUGGCGACUGGCAUAACGCUCUUUAUUUUAGCUGUAAUCCUGUAUUUCUUGAUUCGAGGAAAAAAGCGUCUGAAAGAUGAAGAUUUAGUAAGAACGUCCCGAUUCACUGUAAAUGGUCAAGACAACGACACACUGGAAGACGGGACCACUGACACCGACUUCGCUCUUCAUACCUUUACAAGUCCUCCCAAAAUCGAUGCUUAGCCGAGCUCGUGAAUCAGCGCUGGUACUACAGAGAAACCUCGGUUUAGUACACAGAACCUGAACUCUCCCUUCGCUACCCUUAGGGGAUUUAUCUGAUUGAAGUUUAGAGCCUCCUGGCAGGGCUAGAGGAGGAAAGGUUGAAAGCCGAGGAGGACUUCAUUAGCCGAGCUAUUAAUCGCGCGCAGAAAUUAGAAAAGUGAUUAAAACAAAGGCACUUCGUUUUCUUAUCACUUUAUUUGAGAAGCAGGGCAAACAUGCUGUACAGUUUUUGACGCGUUUUCAAUUUUACGGGACGCGGGCUGCGAGACAGUUGUUAAAUUUCGGGACCGCAAUCCGCCGAUGUGGAUUUCCAGGAGACAAAGACUUGUUACAAGUCCACACUUAAGCACACUGUUAUUAACUAGCUGGAAAGAUAUAAUGGUCUCAGACAGUUUUGCGCAUAACUAAAGGGAAGCAGUUGUACCUAAAAAUAUUGCUGGAAAUAUUAAAGAGCCUUCUGUUCUAGACACUCUUUUGACUUGCGUAGCCCUUCAUGACAUAUGCAGCAUUUUUAUCGUAGUUUCAAACUUUUCUACAACGGCUCUGAUACCUUGCACACCUCCAUCGGCAAAGGGCGCUGACAGACAGGAAGAGAACGAUAAACUUCCUAACGCUCUUUAAUCAGCCAGGUCGAUUCAACUUCUUGUUCCUCAAGGCUGUCACGAUGUUCCAAACACGUUUCAGCAGUGUUUAGGGCCUACAGGCAUAGUUUCAGUUCUGAUCCUCUUUUGUCACACAGCACUUCUCUUUCUUCGUGAAGGGCUGGAACUUGGCCAGAACCGGAUGUGUUCGAUUGCAAAACAGGCGAGUAGCAGCGCGGAUCACGGCGUAAACACCGCCCUCUCCGCUAGCGGUCUUCUCAGCAAAAUUGCUUGUUCUGCAGACCACGGCGGUGAAACCAGCCAACAAACUUUGGCCCGGGAUAUUUCUCGCCCCAGUUUCCUCACUGGUUUACUUCGUACUCCUGCUGUCGGUCCUGCUGCUCCAUCCGCGUGUGAGACUCAAAGAAAUUCACGGCCGAAUUUGUUUACUGUCUUUGGUGCCCCCUGCCUUUGCUAGACUUUUUUUUUUUUCGUAGGUCCCAAAAUCAACCCUAGCCCUAUCCAUACUUUGAAAACAGAAACUGUGGUCUGCACUGGGUCUUUCUCAGGUCUGUUCUAUUAUUUGGGAUUCCCGAUCAUGUUUUGAUGUUCGUUUAAAGGAGUAACGCCAUGGUCUGCAGAUCCUAAAUUUUUUAAGCUCGUCGUUUGUAAUCCGUGUUAAUCUCCGGCGUCAAUUUGGUGCUGAUCGUAGCGUUGCACUUGAUCGACACGCAUUUUCAUCGUUAGAAACCAAAAACACAUACUACUCGUCGAAAGGUGGACGACAUGUCUGCCAUAGUACACAACCUGCAACCUCUGGCCUCUCUCUGUCACGCAACGCUUAAUAACCGUCGUCUUCUACUGUCCUCUUCCCACUUAGUAAUUGUUAGCAUUCCCAGGUCGAGGCAAACGCAUGGCAAACUGCGCGUUUGCAAACCAAUAUGGCGGCCGAGGUUGAUGGACUGAGAAGAGAUAAGAAAAGAGAGUCCAGAAGGGAAGAAGAAGAAGAAGAUGAAUCAUCAGAUAGCAGUGACUCAACUCGUGAAGACGGGCCCCAUAUUGGGAACGAAAAAACGACAUCUGAACGUAAACACGAUCAUAAGAAAAAGAAGAAAAAGCAUAAACACAAGCACAAGAGUCACAAGCACAAGCACAAACGGCACAAGCGAAAGGACAAGGAAGAUGCGUCUGAGAAUGGCGAACCCGCCGAGAAAAAGUCUAAAAUUGCAGACGAACUUUUAGAACUCGAAAGAAGGAAAGCGUUUCUUCAAGAACAGCUGGCAGAGGCUGCUCAGGGAAACGAAAAAUCUGCAUAUGAAAAUGAUAGGCUCCCUAGGAAUAAAAAAGAUGAUGAUGGCAGAGACAGACACAAAGAGAAACAAAGACAUGAACAGGGAAGUGAAAGAAAGUUGCACGCCACCAGGGCUUUGUCUGAUAGCCAUGAAAAACGCAAGGAAAGGAGUCGAAGUCCAGCUAGAGAUAAAGAGAGGAAAGAAGACAGUAAAGAAAAUAGUAAACCACGUACAGACUCACAGAAAGAUGAGAGAUCUCGUGAUCACUCGCACAGUCAUCGAUCAAGAAGACAUAGCAGUUCUCAUGACAGCAGUAAAACUGAGUUAAAAUCUAGGCGUGAUUCAAAUUUAAAAAGCAAUAGUUUUGAAAAGGAUAAGUCUGCGCUCCAAGAGAGAGAUUCAUCCAAGGUUGACACUAACAGAAAGGACAGUGGAAGAAAAUCAAGGUCGCCUAAACCCCAUUCAAGAUCUAAAUCACCCAAGAAAGAUGGUCAGUCUGACAUCAAACAACAACACAAAUCAAGGGAGAGAUCAAAGAGAUCAGGCAGUCGAUCACCAAGGAGAGAUUUAUCAAAGGAGAGAAAAAGUAAACAGGAAGGUGGUAGAAGAGGGAGCAGAUCACCAAAGAGACAAGGAAGGUCAUCUUCAAGAUCACGAAGACAUAGCAAAUCUCCAAAGUGGAGAAGCCGAUCCCCAAGGCGUCGUAGCCGCUCUCCGAGAAGGAGGAGUAAAUCUCCAAGGCGACGUAGUAGGUCUAGGUCACCACGCCGAAGACGCAAUAGUGAUAAAUACAAGGGGAGUUAUUCUGAAGGACAGGCGCAUAAAGGAGACUCAGACCACGAUGCUGACCUGUACAAUUUUGAGAUGGAGGAGGAAGAGCAAGAAGAUGAAGAUGCAAUCAUUGAGAAAAGAAGACUUCAAAGGCUAGCCAUUUUGCAGAAGUACCAAGGCACUACAUCAAAUGCACCAUCGAUAGCAACCUCACUUGUGUCACAGUCACCAUCGGCAGACAGAUCAGACAGCGAAGAUAGUGAUGCUGUGGAAAAGCUAGCCACUGAGGAUUUAGAAAAAGAAAUAGCACUGGCCAACAGUCAAACAAGGAAUGAACUUAAAGAUGCUGUGAAGGAAAAGGAAUCUAAACAAGAUAGUGAGACAAAAUCUGGUGUUGGUGAUAUGUUUGCUGAUGAUGAUAUGUUCUCUGACAAUUAUAGUAGUCCUGCAAGAGCUCUAAAAGUGGAGGCUGGAAAGGAGAAUCCUAACCUCACAGACAACUGGGAUGAUGCUGAGGGAUAUUACAGAAUUCGCAUCAGUGAAGUUCUUGACAAGCGUUACUGUGUUUAUGGUUACACUGGGGCAGGAGUAUUUGGCAAUGUUGUACGUGCAAGAGAUCAAGCAAGGGGAAACCAAGAGGUGGCAGUGAAAAUCAUUAGGAACAAUGAGAUGAUGCACAAAACAGGCCUCAAAGAACUUGAAUUCCUAAAGAAGCUGAACUCGGCUGACCCAGAUGACAAGUAUCACUGCCUGCAAUUGUUUCGACACUUCUUUCACAAGAAUCAUUUGUGUUUAGUCUUUGAAUCACUCAGCAUGAACUUGAGAGAAGUUUUACGCAAGUAUGGUCAAAACGUGGGACUGCAUUACAAAGCAGUGCGAUCUUACAGUCAGCAGUUAUUCCUUGCCCUGAAACUCUUGAAGAAGACUGGUAUAAUCCAUGCAGACAUUAAACCUGAUAACAUCCUGGUGAAUGAAUCAAAACUUGUUGUAAAACUGUGUGAUUUUGGAUCAGCUUCCUUUGCUGCAGACUGUGAUAUAACUCCAUAUCUAGUCAGUCGUUUUUAUAGAGCACCUGAAAUAAUUAUAGGAGCAAAGUAUGACUACAACAUAGACUUAUGGUCUGUGGCAACUACAGUGUUUGAGCUUUACACUGGAAAGAUUAUGUUUUCUGGAAAAACCAACAAUGAAAUGCUCAAACUGAUGAUGGACUACAAAGGUAAAAUUCCCAACAAGAUGAUUCGAAAAGGGGCACUGCGGGAUCAACACUUUGACGAAAAUUGUAACUUUCUUUACCAUGAGGUUGACAAAAUCACUCAAAGGGGAAAGAUAACUGUAAUGGGCACAAUCAACCCAAACAAAGAAGUGGUUGAAUCCUUACUUGGUUACAAAAAGCUGAACGAGGAACAUAAGCGGAAAGUCAUGCAACUGAAGGAUCUACUUGACAAAUGUCUCAUGUUAGACCCAGCAAAAAGGAUCUCACUCAAUCAGGCUCUCACACAUCCUUUCAUCACAGAAAAGUUUCCCCACAGGAACAACCUUGGUACUGAGUGACAAUCAGCUUAACAUGUUCAAGAAUAGCUAUAGCAUUUAUUUCUCCAGUACCUAGGGUAAUGUUCGCUGUUAUUUCAAGCUUCCUACUAAAUUUGAAGGUUCUAUGCCAAUAAUUAAAAGUCUGAAAUUACUUUCGAUUGCUACAGUUCUUUAUAUCUGAAUAAAUUUAGACAGUGCUGCACUUUCUCAGAGUAACCAGAACUGAAAAUAGUGGAUUGGUCGUGUUUGUGGAAAUCAAAACCAAAUGUACAGUUGCAGUGUAGUCAUAAAUGGAAAUGUAUUAGUUCACCUAGUCUACCUCUCUAGGUGGAAAAAGUCUUGAAUUGGACUGUGUUGAUCACACUAGGUGGACCACUCCAGAGUUGGAACUAUAAAUAUUGAUAAUAAUGUAAUCAUUUUGUCAUGAACGUUUUAAGUGGCGUUAGCAGUGCCAGUCAGAGUCUCCCUGUUUCCCUCAAGGGUUGUUAAAGGAGCUCAGUCACGGUUUGCACAUUUUGAAAAGUUUAGCCUCAAUUUUUCAAAUUCGUCGUUUGCAAUCCGUGUCAAUCUUCGCCCUCCUUGACCAUCCUUGUUCCUUUAUGGUUCAUUGUUAUCUAUUUGAUGUUUCCCUAUCUUAGUAAACUAUUAUUUUCAAGUUUCUUUCCAAUUAAAGGAGAUUUUGUCGGUGGCCAAAGACGAAACACCGUGACUGAGCUCCUUUAAGGUUUGAAUAAAUUCAAACAUGGGGAAGUAGGGGCUUGUUGGUGGUAUUGAGACAAUUUUGAAGACAUAGACAGUGUACAAUCGACCUUAUCGAAGCACAGUAUUUUGGUAUCAUUGCUAACCAGUUCUUCUCUUACAUUUUGCCUUUAUGCUGGUUGUGCUACUGAAUCCUCACACGGUUAUACGGUGAAAUGGAUUAAAGAGAUAUCGCAUCUUUAUUGGAGGUAUUCCUGUGAGACAUAACACAAAGGACAUGGAAAACCUAAAUGUACAGUGGCUCAAAAGGUCUUGGUUUCCCAGUAUUUGACAUUGCAAUACGGGAGUAUUUGUCAGUGUAUUUACAGGUGGUAGAAGGCAGUCAGAGGUAACCAAAGGUGAGUCGUGGAGACCUUUCAGUAAAAGUAUCAGCGAGCAUGCAACCUGUGAACUACCCGUGCGUUGACUAAACUUUGCGCCAGGACCUUGCUUGCGCUUCGUGCCCAAGACAGAGAAAACGAUUAGGACUAAGCCUGACUAAGCUUGGAUUUUGACCAAUCACGCCUCACUGGUCUCAAACAUUCUCUAGAAAUAAGCUAACGAGAUUGUAACUCUUUUCUCUCAAAGCUUGAGAUCAAUUUUCGGGUUGCACUUUCCAAACGAAUUGCCCGUCGUGGAUUUCCUGUAGAUCAGCGCGUGUAUAACUGUUUCAGUAUCGAAUUGGGAAGAAAUCUCAAGGUUAGCUUGUGAUCACAGUAUCCACAAAUACCUGCAGGAGGAGUCUAGUAACAAUGACUUGGGAUUUUUGCAAGCGCCGUGAUUAAAGUUCGAUGCAUCUCUGCUUUAUUGUGUUAUAAAUUUUAAGUUAUGUAGUGAACAACAUGGCAUGCCGGAGUCUGUUGUUGAUUUUACCUGAGCUUAGCCUGAGUAUCCUGAUUUUCUCUCCCUUCUCUUCCCCGGCAUGAUACUCGGGCUAACUUGAGUUGGUCUUAGAUCAGGCUUUUGCUUCCACCAUCUCC
rnacentral:misc_RNA from 1 species